rnacentral:rRNA from 1 species
GNNNGCUAAUACAUGCAAGUCGAGCGAGCAAUUUUAACGGAAGGCCUUCGGGCUGGAAGCUAAAAGCGCGAGCGGCGGAUGGGUGAGUAACACGUGGGCAACCUGCCCUUUAGCUUGGGAUACCACUUGGAAACAGGUGCUAAUACCAAAUAAGAAGCAAGAGCGCAUGCUCAAGCUAUGAAAGGCGGCUUUCGAGCUGUCACUAAAGGAUGGGCCCGCGGUGCAUUAGCUAGUUGGUAAGGUAACGGCUUACCAAGGCAAUGAUGCAUAGCCGAGUUGAGAGACUGAUCGGCCACAUUGGGACUGAGACACGGCCCAAACUCCUACGGGAGGCAGCAGUAGGGAAUCUUCCACAAUGGACGCAAGUCUGAUGGAGCAACGCCGCGUGAGUGAAGAAGGUUUUCGGAUCGUAAAGCUCUGUUGUUGGUGAAGAAGGAUGUGAAUAGUAACUGAUUCAUAUUUGACGGUAAUCAACCAGAAAGUCACGGCUAACUACGUGCCAGCAGCCGCGGUAAUACGUAGGUGGCAAGCGUUGUCCGGAUUUAUUGGGCGUAAAGCGAACGCAGGCGGGAGAACAAGUCAGCUGUGAAAGCCCUCGGCUUAACCGGGGAAGUGCAGCUGAAACUGUUUUUCUUGAGUGCAGAAGAGGAGAGUGGAACUCCAUGUGUAGCGGUGGAAUGCGUAGAUAUAUGGAAGAACACCAGUGGCGAAGGCGGCUCUCUGGUCUGUAACUGACGCUGAGGUUCGAAAGCAUGGGUAGCGAACAGGAUUAGAUACCCUGGUAGUCCAUGCCGUAAACGAUGAGUGCUAAGUGUUGGGAGGUUUCCGCCUCUCAGUGCUGCAGCUAACGCAUUAAGCACUCCGCCUGGGGAGUACGACCGCAAGGUUAAAACUCAAAGGAAUUGACGGGGGCCCGCACAAGCGGUGGAGCAUGUGGUUUUAAUUCGAACCAACCGACGAAUAACCUUACCAGGUCCUUGACAUCUAGUUGCCAGUUCCUAGAGAUAGGGAUGUUUCCCCUUCGGGGACACUAAAAACAGGGUGGGUGCAUGGCUGGUCGUCAGCUUCGUGUCGUGAGAUGUUUGGUGUUUUAAGUUCUCCGNNACNAGNCGNNAACNCCNUUAUUUNNUNCANNUUGGGCCCNAG